GUGUCAGCAGCCGCGGUAAUACGUAGGUGGCAAGCGUUGUCCGGAUUUACUGGGCGUAAAGGGAGCGUAGGCGGACUUUUAAGUGGGAUGUGAAAUACUCGGGCUCAACCUGAGUGCUGCAUUCCAAACUGGAAGUCUAGAGUGCAGGAGGGGAAAGUGGAAUUCCUAGUGUAGCGGUGAAAUGCGUAGAUAUUAGGAAGAACACCGGUGGCGAAGGCGACUUUCUGGACUGUAACUGACGCUGAGGCUCGAAAGCGUGGGGAGCGAACAGGAUUAGAUACCCGCGUAGUCC
rnacentral:rRNA from 1 species